rnacentral:rRNA from 1 species
AGCGAACGCUGGCGGCAGGCCUAACACAUGCGAGUCGAACGAACCUUUCGGGGUUAGUGGCGGACGGGUGAGUAACACGUGGGAACGUGCCUUUAGGUUCGGAAUAACUCAGGGAAACUUGUGCUAAUACCGAAUGUGCCCUUCGGGGGAAAGAUUUAUCGCCUUUCGAGCGGCCCGCGUCUGAUUAGCUAAUUUGUUAAGGUAAUGGCUCACCAAUGCGACGAUCAAUAGCUGGUCCGAGAGGAGGAUCAGCCACAUUCGAACUGAGACACGGCCCAAACUCGGACGGGAGGCAGCAGCAGGGAAUCUUCCGCAAGGGGCGAUAGCGUGACGGAGCAACGGCGCGUGAGUGAGGAAGGUCUACGCAGCGUAAAACUCUGUGAUUAGGGAAGAACAAAUGUGUAAGUAACUGUGCACAACUGGACGGGACCUAAGCAGAAAGCCACGGCUAACUACGU